CUCAGUCCACGCUGUCCAUCUAUUUUGUUAGAUAAUUUUGGAUAUGAACCCAAAAAUGAUCAGAUUCAAACCUCAGGUGGACCAUAUUAUAAGAAAUUGCGGUGAUUGAGUGCCCCGAUAUUUAAAACUUCCUAGGGCGGACCGUUAUAUUUAUUUAACUUGCAACCUGCUGAAAAGGUCACACAAACCCUGAUGAAGGGAGAAAACAAAUAUCAUCUCGUUCCAAAACUUGUGACCCGCAGGAACUUUUUAAUGAUCAACCACCACUGUUUCCUAUGGUAUGGUUCACCUGAGAUUUGGAUAUGCUUCUUUUUUUUUUUUUUUGGAUAAUACCUUAAAAUGAUCUAAAAAAAUUGAUGGACGGCGUAGAUAUAGAAUACAUAGAUCAAGAUGGGCUCCACCGUGAAGGCUGCACCGUCGAGGGUGUGUCCGGGGCCGGACCCAAUCCGCUCCCGCAUCCGAGAUGCAGGACUGCACUCGUGAGUGGUCCAGUCCAGACGAGUUUUAUUGCUUUAUAUUAAUUGAUGAAGUUUUGCCAGAAAACAUACGUCCGGACCUUAGCCUUUGUAUCUGGGUCAUCUUAAAAUGAUCCGAACCGUUUAUAUGGUAUUUCUCCUCUUUAUUAGAGGAUGGAAAACAAAAGAAAACAAACGCUUUUAAUUUUAUUGCUUUGAUCAUUUGCAAAUUUUGCUCUUUUGUUUUGUAUUUAAACUGUUAACAUAGCCUCUACGAUCUAAGACAAAAACAUUCAAUCUAAGAUUUGUUUUCUCUUAAAUCCUCAAUUCAAGAUGAUUUGUAUCACAUAAACGGUUUGGAUCACUAAAAAUACCAAAAAAUUCAGCGGAUAGAGUCACGACGUAUCUCAUCAAAAUACGUUAGGAUGUAUUUUAGCAAACCUCUUGUUUCUUCCUCUCUCUCUUUUUUUUCUAAUGUAAUUUUGCGACUUCGUUGUACGAAUGUGUUGAACAUGUCCGGUUCAUCGAGCUUAAAUACUUAGAUUUACCAUGAUCGGAACGGUUCCUCUUCUCUAUUUUGUGCUAUUACAAUAGUAAUGAGAAAAUUACACUGAAUUGAUGAUUAUAAACAUCACUAUAUUUAGAAGAACUGCGAACAUGUAAGAGAAGAUUUCAACGAUAUACAUUCAAAUUUAGAUAUCGAAGUUAUAAAUUAUCAAUGAGGAAUGAAUCUAAGAACAUAGAUUAUGUAUAGAAGUAAAGAGAAGAUGGACGGUUUAUAUCAUCUGAAACCUCAACGACUGGGGUCAAAUGGGGGCGACUCAUACGGCCAAUCUGUGCCGUCCAGAGGCUUGGGAAACCAGAGAGUGGUUUACGAAAUCAAGGGGCGCAAUCCGCCUUGUUUUGCAAAACCACCGUCUCCUUAGGGUUGUUGGUUGAUACUCUGGCUGCAUAUGAAUCUUGAUAAGCAUGCACUUAAAAAUAGUACAUGUAGAAAAUUAUAACUCUCAUUAAACCGUCUAAACUGUGGAACCUUUAGUUACUAGUAUACAUUCCAAAAAUCGAACUGGUUGAAUAUUCAUAAACUCUGAUUCGUGGCCACCCUUUUUCUUGAAAUAAGACAGCCAGAUAUUUUCAUUUCUAACCGUCUAUUAAGUGGGACAUCAACUAAGAAUCUAAAUUGGUGCAUACGAUUUGAACGGUUGGAUUGGAACUAUGAUACGCCACGUGUACAUUCUUUAAGUAAUUUCCAAGUGCCAGUGUACAAUCUAACAUGUCUUGGUAAAGUAUCAUUUUUUUCACAAAACCUUAUAUUAAUGCAGAAAGAGAAACAACGCACCUUCACCGAAAGGGGUAAGAGGUUGGAAUUAUAUGAUGGAAAAUCGUUUUUGUGAUUUUUCUAUAGAUAACAUAUUCUAUUGAUAUCCAGGUUUUCUUUCCUUUCUGCAUGGAUGUGGGGGCCAUAUCCGUUUGAACGGCUCUUUCAUGGAAAGAGAGAUAGAGCUAAUUGAAGUUAUGAGAACGGGUUUCUCUGUUUCGUCUUUUUUUUCGUUUUUAGCUGAAGGUCUUUUUCUAGAUGAAUGUGGUCACAACUUGAUGAACGGCUGACAUGAAAAUCGGGCUGGUAUGUACGUUGAGUCACUUUGUGUCCUGAUUUUCGUUAUAUGUUAUAUUCAAGGUGUGGUCUACCUUCUUCAUUAGUUAUAGUUUCUAUACAAUGAGGUUAAUGUUGUAUGUUGUGUUA